rnacentral:rRNA from 1 species
CACGUAGGCGGACUGGAAAGUUGGAGGUGAAAUCCCAGGGCUUAACUCUGGGACUGCUUUUGAAACUGUCAGACUGGAGUGCAGGAGAGGUAAGCGGAAUUCCUAGUGCAGCGGUGAAAUGCGUAGAUAUUAGGAGGAACAUCAGUGGCGAAGGCGGCUUACUGGACUGAAACUGACACUGAGGCACGAAAGCGUGGGAGCAAACA